UACUAAUGUGUUGUAGGGUAA
ensembl:piRNA 21ur-1257 ncRNA